GAUGAACGCUGGCGGCGUGCCUAAUACAUGCAAGUCGAGCGAACAGACGAGGAGCUUGCUCCUUUGACGUUAGCGGCGGACGGGUGAGUAACACGUAGGUAACCUACCUAUAAGACUGGGAUAACUUCGGGAAACCGGAGCUAAUACCGGAUAAUAUUUCGAACCGCAUGGUUCGAUAGUGAAAGAUGGCUUUGCUAUCACUUAUAGAUGGACCUGCGCCGUAUUAGCUAGUUGGUAAGGUAACGGCUUACCAAGGCAACGAUACGUAGCCGACCUGCGAGGGUGAUCGGCCACACUGGAACUGAGACACGGUCCAGACUCCUACGGGAGGCAGCAGUAGGGAAUCUUCCGCAAUGGGCGAAAGCCUGACGGAGCAACGCCGCGUGAGUGAUGAAGGUCUUCGGAUCGUAAAACUCUGUUAUUAGGGAAGAACAAACGUGUAAGUAACUGUGCACGUCUUGACGGUACCUAAUCAGAAAGCCACGGCUAACUACGUG
rnacentral:rRNA from 1 species